rnacentral:lncRNA from 1 species
CCGGGUCACAGCUGUGACACAUAACUGCCAGCUGAGGGGCCUUGACACCUCCCACUGCUCCCCCCAGGCCUCAGUUUCCUCACCUGUAAAGAGAAGGAGCUGUGGGUCCUUCUGAGGUCAAAUGGUCAGUGACUUCAUAAUCAGAUAAUGGCAACAUGGCUGCCACGACUCAAACCGGAUUUUCACCCAAGGCGACGCAUCCCAGUCUAGAGUGAGCCGAGAGGGGUCCUAGAGCAGCUCAGUGGAGCGGCACGGAAUCUCACUGACCGACCCAGCACUCACCAGCCAGCGAGGCCGGCAGUUCUCACCCUGCAGGGGCACUGGCCAGACCCUCAGAUUAACCGAGCGGUCACUUUUCCACUCUCCAGGAAAUAACUUGCUCUUGGUUUCUUCCAUGUUCUCCCUACGGUCCCCUCAGAGCACCCUGUGGCUGGUGAACCAGAAUCAAAAAGGAAGCAGGAGAAGAAGUCUGCCACAUCCUCAGGAAGCAGCCGUUGCUGCCUCCCGCAGCGCCAUGCAGCUUGCACGGGCUGGGAGGAGCUCUCCUGGUGGAGCUGAGCCCAGGCUGAGAAGAACGGGGCAUGUGCUGCGCUCCAGACUGCAGGCAAACAAGGAUACGUUCCCUCAAAUCUACAUCUCGGGGAGAAAGAAUCAGAACAUGGGAGGGGCCCGAACAGACAAUGGGCACCAGAGGCAAACUCAGCAGGUGAUGGGUGAGGUGUCCCUGGAGCCUGGGGGUGGGGAGAGGGAACGUGGCAUCCUGACAUGGCAGUCAGCACCCAUGCCAGCAGAGCUGCCGAGCACACGCCCGGGAGAAAGCCAGGAGGUCAUCCCAAGCCUGUGGAAGUUCAUUCACACUGUG